rnacentral:rRNA from 1 species
GAUGAACGCUGGCGGCGUGCCUAAUACAUGCAAGUCGAGCGAACGGACGAGAAGCUUGCUUCUCUGAUGUUAGCGGCGGACGGGUGAGUAACACGUGGAUAACCUCCCUAUAAUUCUGGGAUAACUUCGGGAAACCGGAGCUAAUACCGGAUAAUAUUUUGAACCGCAUGGUUCAAAAGUAAAAGACGGUCUUGCUGUCACUUAUCGCUGGAUCCGCGCUGCAUUAGCUAGUUGGUAAGGUAACGGCUUACCACGGCGACGAGGCAUAGCCGACCGGUGAGGGGGAUCGCCCGCCCGGGAACGGGAACACGGUCCAGGCGCCUACGGGAGGCAGCAGAAGGGAAUCUUCCGCAAUGGGCGAAAACCUGACGGAGCAACGGGGCGUGAGUGAUGAAGGUCUUCGGAUCGUAAAACUCUGUUAUUAGGGAAAAACAUAUGUGUAAGUUACUGUGCACAGCUUGACGGUACCUAAUCAGAAAGCCACGGCUAACUACGUG